rnacentral:rRNA from 1 species
GACGAACGCUGGCGGCGUGCUUAACACAUGCAAGUCGAACGGAAAGGCCCUGCUUUUGUGGGGUGCUCGAGUGGCGAACGGGUGAGUAACACGUGAGUAACCUGCCCUUGACUUUGGGAUAACUUCAGGAAACUGGGGCUAAUACCGGAUAGGAGCUCCUGCUGCAUGGUGGGGGUUGGAAAGUUUGGGCGGUUGGGGAUGGACUCGCGGCUUAUCAGCUUGUUGGUGGGGUAGUGGCUUACCAAGGCUUUGACGGGUAGCCGGCCGGAGAGGGUGACCGGCCACAUAGGGAGUGAGAGACGGCCCAGACUCAUACGGGAGGGAGGAGUGGGGGAGAUUGCACAAUGGGCGGAAGCCUGAUGGAUCAACGCCGCGUGCGGGAUGACGGCCUUCGGGUUGUAAACCGCUUUCGCCUGUGACGAAGCGUGAGUGACGGUAAUGGGUAAAGAAGCACCGGCUAACUACGU